UGCGGGGUGGAGCAGUGGUAGCUCGCUGGGCUCAUAACCCAGAGGUCAGAGGUUCGAAUCCUCUCCCCGCUACCU
rnacentral:tRNA from 1 species